UACACGCUGUGACUAGCAUAUCAAUAAGCGGAGGAAAAGAAACUAACAAGGAUUCCCUUAGUAACGGCGAGUGAAGCGGGAAGAGCUCAAAUUUGAAAUCUUCAAGGUUUUACCUUGACGAAUUGUAGUUUAAAGAAGUGUUUUCUGUUGAAGUUUUGGUAAAAGUUCUUUGGAAUAGGACAUCAUAGAGGGUGAGAAUCCCGUAUUUGACCAUUAUUUUCAGCUUUGUGAUACACUUUCAAAGAGUCGGAUUGUUUGGGAAUGCAGUCCAAAAUGGGUGGUAAAUUUCAUCUAAAGCUAAAUAUUGGCGAGAGACCGAUAGCGAACAAGUACCGUGAGGGAAAGAUGAAAAGAACUUUGAAAAGAGAGUUAAAUAGUACGUGAAAUUGUCAAAAGGGAAGCGUUUGACACCAGUGUUGUUUUCUGAAAAUCAACCUCUGUUAGCUUUAUGCAUGUUUGUUUAGACCUAAUCAGCUAUCUUGCAUGUUCUAUUGUUUGCAGUGGUGCACUUUUCAGUUUACAGGUCAACAUCAGUUUUUUUUACCGUAAAAAAGUUAAAGAAAGGUAGCUCAUGGCUCCGGUCGUGAGUGUUAUAGUCUUUUUCCUAUGCGGUAGGAGAGACUGAGGUCUGCAGUGUAGGCUAUUUGGCUAGAUACUCAGGUGCUAUGUGAUACCAUUUCAUAAACAACUUGUUGAUUAUGUUUUGUCUAUUGCAUACUCGCUUGUACUAUCAUACCUACGCUUAGGAUGUUGACGCAUGAGAUAUACGC
rnacentral:rRNA from 1 species